UGAGCGGACCAAAUGGGAGCUUGUUCCCUGAUGUUAGCGGCGGACGGGUGAGUAACACGUGGGUAACCUGCCUGUAAGACUGGGAUAACUCCGGGAAACCGGGGGCUAAUACCGGAUGGUUGUCUGAACCGCAUGGUUCAGACAUAAAAGGUGGCUUCGGCUACCACUUACAGAUGGACCCGCGGCGCAUUAGCUAGUUGGUGAGGUAACGGCUCACCAAGGCGACGAUGCGUAGCCGACCUGAGAGGGUGAUCGGCCACACUGGGACUGAGACACGGCCCAGACUCCUACGGGAGGCAGCAGUAGGGAAUCUUCCGCAAUGGACGAAAGUCUGACGGAGCAACGCCGCGUGAGUGAUGAAGGUUUUCGGAUCGUAAAGCUCUGUCCCCAGGGAAGAACAAGUGCCGUUCAAAUAGGGCGGCACCUUGACGGUACCUAACCAGAAAGCCACGGCUAACUACGUGCCAGCAGCCGCGGUAAUACGUAGGUGGCAAGCGUUGUCCGGAAUUAUUGGGCGUAAAGGGCUCGCAGGCGGUUUCUUAAGUCUGAUGUGAAAGCCCCCGGCUCAACCGGGGAGGGUCAUUGGAAACUGGGGAACUUGAGUGCAGAAGAGGAGACGGAAUUCCACGUGUAGCGGUGAAAUGCGUAGAGAUGUGGAGGAACACCAGUGGCGAAGGCGACUCUCUGGUCUGUAACUGACGCUGAGGAGCGAAAGCGUGGGGAGCGAACAGGAUUAGAUACCCUGGUAGUCCACGCCGUAAACGAUGAGUGCUAAGUGUUAGGGGGUUUCCGCCCCUUAGUGCUGCAGCUAACGCAUUAAGCAUUCCGCCUGGGAAUACGACGCCGCUAUAAUGAAAAAUGGCC
rnacentral:rRNA from 1 species